rnacentral:rRNA from 1 species
AUUGAACGCUGGCGGCAGGCCUAACACAUGCAAGUCGAGCGGAUGAAGGGAGCUUGCUUCUGGAUUCAGCGGCGGACGGGUGAGUAAUGCCUAGGAAUCUGCCUGGUAGUGGGGGAUAACGUCCGGAAACGGGCGCUAAUACCGCAUACGUCCUGAGGGAGAAAGUGGGGGAUCUUCGGACCUCACGCUAUUAGAUGAGCCUAGGUCGGAUUAGCUAGUUGGUGGGGUAAAGGCCUACCAAGGCGACGAUCCGUAACUGGUCUGAGAGGAUGAUCAGUCACACUGGAACUGAGACACGGUCCAGACUCCUACGGGAGGCAGCAGUGGGGAAUAUUGGACAAUGGGCGAAAGCCUGAUCCAGCCAUGCCGCGUGUGUGAAGAAGGUCUUCGGAUUGUAAAGCACUUUAAGUUGGGAGGAAGGGCAGUAAGUUAAUACCUUGCUGUUUUGACGUUACCAACAGAAUAAGCACCGGCUAACUUCGUG